rnacentral:rRNA from 1 species
UACAUGGGGUGCAAACGUUUGCUCGGAAUUAUUGGGCGUAAAGCGCACGUAGGCGGUUCGUUAAGUCGGAUGUGAAAGCCCUCGGCUCAACUGAGGAAGUGCACCCGAAACUGGCGAGCUUGAGUACGAAAGAGGAUCGCGGAAUUCCCGGUGUAGAGGUGAAAUUCGUAGAUAUCGGGAGGAACACCGGUGGCGAAGGCGGCGAUCUGGGUCGAUACUGACGCUGAGGUGCGAAAGCGUGGGGAGCAAACAGG